UACGUAGGGUCCGAGCGUUGUCCGGAAUUAUUGGGCGUAAAGGGCUCGUAGGCGGUUUGUCGCGUCGGGAGUGAAAACUCAGGGCUUAACUCUGAGCUUGCUUUCGAUACGGGCAGGCUAGAGUUCGGUAGGGGAGAUCGGAAUUCCUGGUGUAGCGGUGAAAUGACGCAGAUAUCAGGAGGAACACCGGUGGCGAAGGCGGAUCUCUGGGCCGAUACUGACGCUGAGGAGCGAAAGCGUGGGGAGCGAACAGG
rnacentral:rRNA from 1 species